UCAAAGUUCACACUUCCUUAUGCUGGGAACAGAAUUCUGGGUGAAAGGGGGCCGAAGUAGCCACAGAGAUACAGUAAUAUGCGAGAGGAUGUAGACUAUUUGACAGCUCUGGGCCAGAUGAUGGCCUAUAGCCCCACCUUCAGGUCACCUCUGUGUUCCAGGCACUUCUCAUCAGAAAGCACAGAUUACAUAUUCAACCCACACGAUCAGGAAAGAACCACGGAGUUGCUGUUUUAAAGGCCCCAUGCUUCAUUUUGCAGCCGUCCAAGUCAAAAUGGUCUAAUGAGGAAGGACUCCACUUUGACACUGACAUGACUAACUAGAGGAUGUCUACCUUAGCUCCCUGUGAAUAGAUCUACCCUUCAGUUCAUGUUUUACACCAAGCCCAUGGAAUUACAGAUGAAGAAUGACAAGCUGGGUGAUGGCACCACAGAGCAUCUUCUGGUACCUUGUCGGGUUUCCUGUCAAACUGGCAUGGGAGUAAGAAAGUGACAAGAAUGGGAGAAGACCACACAGGUACAUCCAUCAGCAGGUCUGAAGUCACACUGUGGACUCCUAGACAUAAGACAUGAUGUCAUUCCCAAGGAUGGGGAAUCUGGGGUUUUCACCCACCAGCUCCCAUACAGUAUUGGCUACAGAUGAAAGCCAGGGCAAUAGACCUUGAUCUUCUCCCUAGUAGGCUGGUGGGUCCUGAAGUCAGAGAAUCUCAUACUACAGCAAUCGCCAUCCUUCAGAUCAAAG
rnacentral:sRNA from 1 species